rnacentral:lncRNA from 1 species
AUCCUUGCUACCAUGUGCAUGCAGCUAUCACGCCGGAAUCGACAGCUGCGCUGCCUACCGAACAGUCUUGUAUCAGCACAUCGAACAUUGGCCAGGGAUUUCCUGGCACUUCGGGAAGUGGCCGGCCAAAGUAACAUAUACGCUAGUCAUUUCCAGUACAUCGGACAUUGGCCAAACUCCACUGCCAAAGUGCGAAAUGGUCGGCCAAUUCGGGAACUGGCCGAACUUCGGGCUUUGGCCAUAACAUAUAUAAAAAGCUAAGUUAAUGUUAAUUAUGCUAAAACUUUCUUGUAUUCGAUUCUGAACAUGACUUCCAC